GGGGCUUGCAUGGGAGCGCCAGGCGCACCCAGAAACCCUUUGUGAACUUAUACCUUACUGUUGCCUCGGCGCAUGCCGGCCCCCCUGGGGGCCCCUCCUUCUGGAGGAGCAGGCACGCCGGCGGCCAACCCAACUCUUGUUUUUACACUGAAACUCUGAGAAUAAAACAUAAAUGAAUCAAAACUUUCAACAACGGAUCUCUUGGUUCUGGCAUCGAUGAAGAACGCAGCGAAAUGCGAUAAGUAAUGUGAAUUGCAGAAUUCAGUGAAUCAUCGAAUCUUUGAACGCACAUUGCGCCCUCUGGUAUUCCGGAGGGCAUGCCUGUUCGAGCGUCAUUUCAACCCUCAAGCCUGGCUUGGUGAUGGGGCACUGCUUUUACCCAAAAGCAGGCCCUGAAAUUCAGUGGCGAGCUCGCCAGGACCCCGAGCGCAGUAGUUAAACCCUCGCUUUGGAAGGCCCUGGCGGUGCCCUGCCGUUAAACCCCCAACUUCUGAAAAUUUGACCUCGGAUCAGGUAGGAAUACCCGCUGAACUUAAGCAUAUCAAUAAGCGGAGGAA
rnacentral:rRNA from 1 species